AGCUCUCAACUUUUCCCCACAUAGUGUUUGGGACUUGAGCAUCUCUAAGGAAUCACACUUAUGUGAGGCAGGGAUGAGGAAGAGAGGAAUAAACAGCAUUUCCUGCUCCUGAAGAGAGAUCACUGAGACAUCAAAGGCCUCUCUCUACCACAUGGGUGCUAUAGGAGGAUGAAGUACAGAGAGGACCAUGGGUUUGUGCAUCUCCAAAAAAACCCUGCCUGUUUAAAAGCCUCCAUUACCUUGGCCACAAACCUUUUGAAGUUUCCACCAUAUUUUGAUUUGUUGCCCAUGUUCAUUAGUUAGGAGGAGAUCCUUGAGUCAGCUGAGAAAGAAAGAGAGAAAAUGAAAAGGGCAUUAAAAAUGCUAUGGCAAGCUGCAGCAGGGUGAAAGAACAGAAACUGUGCCUGAGUCCUUCCAGGAAACAUUUUAGAAGACCCUUUGCUGAAGUAUGAAAAGGUCUCAGAAUUCCAAACUUUCAUAACUGUGUUUUAGAACCUUUACCUGGAAAACUUGUAUUUAAGGAAUUACAUCCCAACCUUUUUCCUGUUUCUUGUGACAGCAGUCAAAAAUUGAAAGCAGAAAGGUUCCCACAGCUUUAACUCCAGCUCUCUCUUAGAUGUUUACCAGGAGAACACAGGUUUCCCUGAGUGCAGAAUGCAGCAC